rnacentral:rRNA from 1 species
GAGUGAUCCUGGCUCAGAUUGAACGCUGGCGGCAUGCCUUACACAUGCAAGUCGAACGGCAGCACGGGAGCUUGCUCCUGGUGGCGAGUGGCGAACGGGUGAGUAAUGCAUCGGAACGUAUCCUGGAGUGGGGGAUAACGUAGCGAAAGUUACGCUAAUACCGCAUAUUCUGUGAGCAGGAAAGCGGGGGACCUUCGGGCCUCGCGCUCUUGGAGCGGCCGAUGUCGGAUUAGCUAGUUGGUGAGGUAAAGGCUCACCAAGGCGACGAUCCGUAGCAGGUCUGAGAGGAUGAUCUGCCACACUGGAACUGAGACACGGUCCAGACUCCUACGGGAGGCAGCAGUGGGAAUUUUGGACAAUGGGGGCAACCCUGAUCCAGCCAUGCCGCGUGAGUGAAGAAGGCCUC